rnacentral:rRNA from 1 species
AUUAGAGUUUGAUCAUGGCUCAGAUUGAACGCUGGCGGCAUGCCUUACACAUGCAAGUCGAACGGCAGCGCGGGAGCAAUCCUGGCGGCGAGUGGCGAACGGGUGAGUAAUAUAUCGGAACGUGCCCAGUAGUGGGGGAUAGCCCGGCGAAAGCCGGAUUAAUACCGCAUACGACCUGAGGGUGAAAGCGGGGGAUCGCAAGACCUCGCGCUACUGGAGCGGCCGAUAUCAGAUUAGCUAGUUGGUGGGGUAAAGGCCUACCAAGGCAACGAUCUGUAGUUGGUCUGAGAGGACGACCAGCCACACUGGGACUGAGACACGGCCCAGACUCCUACGGGAGGCAGCAGUGGGGAAUUUUGGACAAUGGGCGCAAGCCUGAUCCAGCAAUGCCGCGUGCAGGAAGAAGGCCUUCGGGUUGUAAACUGCUUUUGUCAGGGAAGAAAUC